CGAGACCAAGAGGAACCGGGAGAUCGCACAGCUCAAGAAGGAGCAGCGCCGGCAGGAGUUCCAGAUCAGGGCUCUGGAAUCUCAGAAGCGACAGCAGGAAAUUGUGCUGCGGAGGAAAACGCAGGAGGUGUCAGCGCUGCGCCGUCU